rnacentral:rRNA from 1 species
CAGCCGCCGCGGUAAUACAGAGGGUGCGAGCGUUAAUCGGAUUUACUGGGCGUAAAGCGUGCGUAGGCGGCUUCUUAAGUCGGAUGUGAAAUCCCUGAGCUUAACUUAGGAAUUGCAUUCGAUACUGGGAAGCUAGAGUAUGGGAGAGGAUGGUAGAAUUCCAGGUGUAGCGGUGAAAUGCGUAGAGAUCUGGAGGAAUACCGAUGGCGAAGGCAGCCAUCUGGCCUAACACUGACGCUGAGGUACAAAAGCAUGGGGAGCAAACAGGAUUAGAUACCCCAGUAGUCCCUGUCUCUUAUAC